rnacentral:rRNA from 1 species
AGAGUUUGAUCCUGGCUCAGGACGAACGCUGGCGGCGUGCCUAACACAUGCAAGUCGAACGGAACUGUUUUGAAAGAUUUCUUCGGAAUGAAUUUGAUUUAGUUUAGUGGCGGACGGGUGAGUAACGCGUGAGUAACCUGCCUUCAAGAGGGGGAUAACAUUCUGAAAAGGAUGCUAAUACCGCAUGACAUAUCGGAACCACAUGGUUUUGAUAUCAAAGAUUUUAUCGCUUGAAGAUGGACUCGCGUCCGAUUAGUUAGUUGGUGAGGUAACGGCUCACCAAGACCGCGAUCGGUAGCCGGACUGAGAGGUUGAACGGCCACAUUGGGACUGAGACACGGCCCAGACUCCUACGGGAGGCAGCAGUGGGGGAUAUUGCGCAAUGGGGGCAACCCUGACGCAGCAACGCCGCGUGAAGGAUGAAGGUUUUCGGAUUGUAAACUUCUUUUAUUAAGGACGAAAAAUGACGGUACUUAAUGAAUAAGCUCCGGCUAACUACGUGCCAGCAGCCGCGGUAAUACGUAGGGAGCAAGCGUUGUCCGGAUUUACUGGGUGUAAAGGGUGCGUAGGCGGCUUUGCAAGUCAGAUGUGAAAUCUAUGGGCUCAACCCAUAAACUGCAUUUGAAACUGUAGAGCUUGAGUGAAGUAGAGGCAGGCGGAAUUCCCCGUGUAGCGGUGAAAUGCGUAGAGAUGGGGAGGAACACCAGUGGCGAAGGCGGCCUGCUGGGCUUUAACUGACGCUGAGGCACGAAAGCGUGGGUAGCAAACAGGAUUAGAUACCCUGGUAGUCCACGCUGUAAACGAU